UACGUAGGUGGCAAGCGUUGUCCGGAUUUACUGGGCGUAAAGGAUGCGUAGGUGGAUAUAUAAGUGGGAUGUGAAAUACCCGGGCUCAACUUGGGUGCUGCAUUCCAAACUGUAUAUCUAGAGUGCAGGAGAGGUAAGUGGAAUUCCUAGUGUAGCGGUGAAAUGCGUAGAGAUUAGGAAGAACACCAGUGGCGAAGGCGACUUACUGGACUGUAACUGACACUGAGGCAUGAAAGCGUGGGGAGCAAACAGGAUUAGAUACCCUGGUAGUCCACGCCGUAAACGAUGGGUACUAGGUGUGGGAGGUAUCGACCCCUUCCGUGCCGCCGUUAACACAAUAAGUACCCCGCCUGGGGAGUACGGUCGCAAGAUUAAAACUCAAAG
rnacentral:rRNA from 1 species